CUGUCAGCUUGUUGCUUGCUGGUAGGCCUACUGCCCAUGUUGAUAAAAUAAACCUCUCUCUGCCUGUUCCGCUAAUUCCAACUGUUGCAAGUGGAAGAAAUCAAGGACAUCACGUCUACUACUAGCCUACGUGCAAAGACAACAGCUGGCAGCAGUCUGCCCUGUGUGACCGGGAAAAUGCCAUGAGCUGUCAUGUGACACAUGCAAACACAAGAAAGCGGAAACGCAUGAUGGAGCGAGAGCCACAGUGGGGUGUGUUUUCCUGAAGAGGCUGAAACAUGCUGGCCUUGAC